AAGUCGUAACAAGGUUUCCGUAGGUGAACCUGCGGAAGGAUCAUUAUCAAAAACGUUUCCACGUUUAUAAACAAACCGUGAACUGUUCUCUUUGCCUUUGGGGGUGAUAAAACUGAGAAAUUGUGGAUCUUUCCAUCGUGUGGUUUGGAUUGCCCUUUCUCGUAUAUUACAUGGUUUUUCCUCCAAAGUGUAAUUUUAUUUAAUCACACAUUUUAUCUUUAUUAACCAAUUGAACCUCAAUUACAUUUUUAUACAAAAAACGAACUGAAUUGUUUCUUACUCGUUUACCCUUUCUGGGUUAAGCGAGACGAAACUGAUUUAUUACGAAACUAAAAUACAACUCUUAGCAACGGAUAUCUUGGUUCUC
rnacentral:misc_RNA from 1 species